UUGACCGUCCGUAAGUGGAUAAACCCUGAAACUCGGAAAAUGGCAACUCUUCAUCUCCUACCACACCAUUCUCACUCAUUUGCCCUAAUUCAACACAAUUUCCCCCAAAUUUCUCACAAAUCAACGCCAAUCAAAUCCUCCGCCACCGAUUCCCCCUCAACCACUUCCACCAACCCCCGCCGCAGCCGUAGAAACACCACCACCACCACCACCAAAAAAACAAGGCGGUCGAGAAAAACAGAGGAUUCACCAGAGCUCCACGACUACGACGACGGCGUCGAUUUCCCGUACCUGGAUCCACCGCUGGUAUGCUGCUUCGGAGCGGCGCAGAAGGAGUUCGUGCCGACGGUGAGAGUGGCGCCUGAGCAGAUGCACCCGGACAUCUACUCGCAGUGGAAAAUGCUGCAGUGGAACCCGCCGGAGUUCUCCCGGGCCCCCGGAGGUCCACCUUCGAAUGUGGCUAUCUCUCACGUGAGGCUCGGCGGGCGGGCGGCCUUCAUGGGGAAGGUAGGGAAGGACGAAUUCGGCGAGGAGCUUGUGUUGAUGAUGAAUCAGGAGAGGGUGCAGACGAGAGGGGUGAAGCUCGACGAGGGUGCUCGAACUGCGUGUAGCCUUAUGAAGAUCAAAUUUGAGGACGGGAAAAUGUCUGCUGAGAAUUCCAAGGAUUGCCCCGAGGAUUCGUUGCUUGUUUCAGAACUCAAUCUUGCGGUGCUUAAAGAGGCUAAAAUAUUUCACUUCACUUCUCAAGUCCUUACAUCAACUUCUAUGCGUUCUACCCUGUUUAAAGCGCUUGCGUGGACUAAGAAGUUCGGCGGUCUUGUAUUUUUCGACUUGAAUCUCCCACUACCGCUGUGGAAAUCACGGGACGAGACGAGGGAGGUGAUCAAGGAAGCCUGGGAGAAAGCAGACAUCAUCGAGGUCACCAAGCAAGAAUUGGAAUUCCUCUUAGACGAAGAGCAUUACGAGAGGAAAAGAAACUAUACACCUCAGUAUUUUGCUGAGAGCUAUGAGCAAACCAAGCAACGGAGAGACUACUAUCACUAUACCCGCGAGGAGCUCUCGCCUCUGUGGCAUGAUGGCCUGAAAUUCUUGUUUGUCACGGAUGGGACGCUCCGGAUACAUUACUACACCCCUAGUUUUGAUGGAGCUGUGGUUGGCACUGAAGACGUGCUCAUAACUCCGUAUACCUGCGACAGAACUGGUUCGGGUGAUGCUGUUGUGGCUGGAAUCAUGCGGAAGCUCACCACACAGCCUGAGAUGUUUGAGAAUCAUGAUGUUUUGGAGAGGCAGCUCCGAUUUGCCAUUUCAGCAGGCAUAAUAUCACAGUGGACGAUAGGUGCGGUACGAGGUUUUCCCACGGAGAGUGCUGCGCAGAAUCUUAAAGAACAGGUGUAUGUGCCAUCCAUGUGGUAGGCAAGACUGCUUCGUUGAGAAAGACUCGUUAAGUUUCAGUGGCGCACAGUCCCUUGUAUCCGGCACAUCUGAAUAUGUAUUCACCACCUGUUUCAACUACCAUUCUCGAUUAUCUAGCCGCUAUUUAUUUCCAAGCUCGGAAGAAUAUGCAAUCCUGCCAAGAGUGGUGAUCGUCUCCACCGGAUUAUCUCCCUCGUUGAAGCCCAAUCUCACGAAUAUACCAGCUACACACAACGCCAUGUCUCAUUUUCGUCGAACAAUGCCAAAUGGAAGUUUGAGCCAGGGCAAUCCGAGUGCAUUCCAGUAUGGAGGCCUGGCACAUGGAGGGUAGACAGAUCACACCAGAGCUGGUCGGAAAAGGAAGAGCUUGCGCUUAUUGUAGCCAUGAAGGAUUUCGUUGCGACUGGUUAGAAAUCUGACAAUGGCUUCAGAGGUGGCUAUUUGAACAAAGUGGAGGAAUCAUUAUACAUAAUUUUCCUACCACGGAUUUAAGGGCAAACCCUCUUAUUUAGUCUAAGAUAACAGCUUGGAAUAAGAACUACAAUAGCCUCAGCAUUAUUCUCGAACGUAGUGGGGUCGGGUUUAAUGUCUGCAAUGACUACAAAAUUGAAUGCAAUGAUGAGCAGUGGGAUCAUAUUAUUAAAGUUUGUUUGAAAUUCAUCUUAAUUUUUUUUGUAAUUACAUAAUGUAGUUGACUCAUGCUAUUUUUGCAAUCAAAAUGUCACCCACAAGUGUA